rnacentral:rRNA from 1 species
UACGGAGGGUGCAAGCGUUGUCCGGAAUCACUGGGCGUAAAGGGCGCGUAGGCGGCCUGGUAAGUAGGGGGUGAAAUCCUGCGGCUUAACCGCAGGGCUGCCUUCUAAACUGUCAGGCUUGAGCACGGUAGAGGCAGAUGGAAUUCCCGGUGUAGCGGUGGAAUGCGUAGAGAUCGGGAAGACAUCAGUGGCGAAGGCGGUCUGCUGGGCCGUUGCUGACGCUGAGGCGCGACAGCGUGGGGAGCAACAGG